rnacentral:rRNA from 1 species
UACGUAGGGGGCAAGCGUCGUCCGGAUUUAUUGGGCGUAAAGAGCGUGUAGGCGGCCGCACAGGUCCGUUGUGAAAACUGGAGGCUUAACCUCCAGACGUCGAUGGAAACCGUGCGGCUAGAGUCCGGAAGAGGAGAAUGGAAUUCCUGGUGUAGCGGUGAAAUGCGCAGAUAUCAGGAAGAACACCCGUGGCUAAGGCGGUUCUCUAGUACGGUACUGACGCUGAGACGCGAAAGCGUGGGGAGCGAACAGG